ACAAAAUUAAAAGAAAGGGAUGGAAUGGGUUCACAGUUUUGAAGGUGUUGAACUCAAUAUUGUGCCCAGAAGGUUGUCAAGUCCCUAAUUUGAAGAUGAGACAUUGUAUGAGACAUAUGGUACCGCGACUCGUGGUUCGGCACAGACGGGUAGUGAACAGCGGUGUAAGAGCCUAGAGUCCUUCAUUAUUGAGUGUAGAGGAAUUCGGCUGGCCAGACGUGAUGCGAGAUUCAAAAUGCCAAUUAACAUACUGUCCUGCCACACUUGCCAAAGGAUGAUCUUUCCAAGGAGAAUGUUACCCUCUGUCAAGGUUAUAUGAUCGACCAACAUGCUUAAUUAAAACUAUGGAGAGGUAAAUGUUUAACAAAUCACUUGAGCUAAAAUGGAGUGAGCAUUGUUAAUGAUCUAUUUGGU